CUGUCUUCUUGCCUCAGUGACUUAGCAGUUUCAACUUUGUAGGAAUAAGAAAAAACACAGUGUGUAUUUGUAAGUAGUGGUUUACAAAAAGAUUCAACAAGCAUAGACAAAAAUGAUCACUUUAAUUUAGGUCCUUUUUCUGAUCUGCACGUUUUAAAAGUGGUACUUAUCAUUCCUUCUUGACUUUUUCAAGUAGGGAUUUAAUCAUUGUCUAUGAAACAACUCUGUAUAAGUUUUACAAUGUUUUUGUUGCCCAUAAUUUUAGAAUAAAAUGUGCUUCACCUCAACUUAUGAUUGUGACGAUGUCAUUUAUAGUCUUUAGAUAAAGUGUAUUGUCCAAAACUUUACUGCUAACCUUCUCUCAACUGUAGGGGACUUCGUGUCAGGACUGAGUAAGAAGCGAGAAAUAUGUCACAACUAAAAUAUUUCAAGCUUAUUGGAAAAUGCUGCAAUUAAUAUUGUUAGAUCUACCUAAAGACAUCUUGCUUUGACCUGUCAUCUCGGUAAGGUUGUUUUAACUUUACAAGCAGGUGAUGAACUUCUAAUGCAUCACUUGUUUAUUUCAAGCCUUCAAUAUAUUGCUUUAUAUCAUCCUGAAUUCGUCUGCAGACAUUAUUUUACCCCUGGUAAAAUGUGUGACUGUGACGUCACACGAGGUUGAACUUGUUGAUCAUGCAAACAUUACUUCUCCAGCAAUAAUUGCGCAGAGAAAUCCGUGCGAAAAACGUGCAUAACAUCAAGAAUAAAAUAACGUAGCAGUUUCAGGAAUCGAAUUCACCAGAAUGAACUUACAAUUUAUCCACAAACUAAAAACUAUGACAAAAAUAACACCCCAUACUAACGGAAUACACCGUUGUUUAAAAUGAGCAACAACAUCUGCAAAGAAAGGGUGGGGUUCACAUACGAUAUUUAAUAUACGAACCGGGUUUUAAAAUAAUCUAUUUUGUGCUUUAAAAAAGUUGCAUAUGCGAAUAAUAACCUUUCAAUAACACGGACACCGGUUAAAUCGAGCGAAAAAUAAGCUAGUCCAUCCAAUACACACUCCAACUUAGAAGGUGGCGGUAAUGCACCAAAUAAAUGCUUGCUAACCGCCAGACAAAAGGGGAGGAAGAAGAAGAUCUUCGGAGGAAGGACCAGAAGUGCUGACAGGACACGCGCAUCAUCUCUGGUCUCAGCACAGAACAGGACUCGCUUUUAAGGAAUUAUUUGCACCUGUUCCUUCAGGAAGAGGACGUUUUUAUUAUUAAAGCUCAUCUCAAGGUCUGUAAAUUAGAAUUUUCACCAUGUUCCCUCGUUUCCAGCUGGCAAACGACAGAGCGCACAUCUGCGUAUUUCUGUGUCUCACUGCCAUCGUGAACACAGUAUUCACCGUCACCCAUUACUCAGUUCCAGAAGAAAUGGAGGAGGGAUCUGUCGUUGCUAAUUUAGCAACUGAUUUAGGAUUAGACGUCAAGACUCUGAAUGCCAGGAAAAUACGCGUAGACGUUGUAGCGAAUAAAAAAUACCUCGACAUCAACAAGGACACUGGAGAGCUGUUUAUUUUGGAAAGGAUCGAUAGAGAGUUUCUGUGCCCAUGGAAAACAACAUCAUCAUGCUUCCUUAAAAUAGAUGCAACAAUUGAAAAUCCGAUCCGAAUGUUUAAUAUUGAGGUAGAAGUCACGGACAUUAAUGACAACGCUCCUCAUUUUCGCCGAGGAACGAUGCAUCUGGACAUCUCUGAAUCAACCGCUGUUGGAGAAAGGUUUUCACUGAACAACGCUGUGGACCCAGAUGUCGGAGUUAACUCAGUGAAAAAUUACCACCUGAGCUCCAGCGAUCACUUCGCUAUUGAAAUUCAAACCGGACGAGAUGGAACAAAGUUUGCCGAUUUGAUUCUGAAAAAAGCUUUAGACAGAGAGCAGCAGGCUGUUCAUAAUCUGAUACUGACCGCUGUGGACGGUGGGAUUCCCACGCGCACAGGUACAGCUAGCAUCAUUGUUCGUGUGCUUGAUGUGAACGACAACGCCCCGAAAUUUGACAAAGAAAAAUAUGUGAUUGAUGUCAUGGAAAACUCGCCUAUUGGCAGUUUAGUAAUCAAACUUAACGCCACUGAUUUAGACGAAGGAUCCAAUUCUGACAUUGUUUAUUCUUAUAGUUUAUACACGUCAGAGAAAACUCAAAAUAUGUUUAACCUGAAUCCAGAAAACGGUGAAAUCAGAGUGAAGGAGAUGAUAAAUUAUGAAGAUUUGAAAUUGUAUGAAAUUGAAGUUAUUGCCGCUGAUAAAGGACCUAACUCCUUAUCAGGACAGUGUAAAGUCACAGUUCAGGUGACAGAUAUGAAUGACAACCACCCAGAAAUAUCAGUCAAAUCAUUUCAAAGUCCCAUUAAAGAAAAUGAGCCAGUGGACACAGUGAUAGCAGUAGUGAGUGUCAGUGAUAAAGACUCAGGAGACAAUGGAGUGGUGGACCUUCAUAUUCCUCAUAACAUGCCCUUCAGACUGAGGGAGUCCUCUGAUAACUACUAUGAGUUAGUGGUGUCAGAGCCGUUAGACCGCGAGAAGGUUCCAGAGUAUGAGAUCACGUUCACUGUGACAGACAGAGGUUCUCCUCCUUUAUCGGACAAUGACACUAUGACGCUGGAGCUGCUGGAUGUCAAUGACAACGUUCCGCAGUUCCCCCAGUCAUUUUACACCAUACGCAUGAUGGAGAACAACGCACCCGGAGCCCUGAUCAGUUCACUCACUGCGUUUGACCCUGACCUCCAUGAAAACCAGUAUCUGGUUUAUUUCAUCAUAGAGAAGGAGAUCGCCAACACCUCCAUGUCCAUGCUGUUCUCCAUCAAUCCAGAGAACGGGAACCUUUACGCACUGAAAACCUUUGACUACGAGAUAGAGAAGGACUUUCUGUUCCACAUCGAGGCCAGAGACUCUGGUUCUCCUCCUCUCAGCAGCAACGUGACCGUCCACAUCAUCAUUGUGGACCAGAACGACAACGCUCCAGUCAUUGUGUCUCCGUGGCGCGCGCACGGCUCAGUGGUGGAGGAAAAGAUCCCCAGAUCCACGGAUAAAGGCUCUCUGGUUGCCAAGGUGAUCGCCUUGGACACGGACUCGGUGCACAACUCUCGCAUCACCUACCAGUUCCUGCAGGUGCCUGACGCCACCUUGUUCAGCCUGGACCAGUACAACGGAGAGAUCCGGACCAUGAGGAUGUUCAGCUACAGGGAUCAGCGCCACCACAGACUGGUGGUUGUUGCCAAGGACAACGGGGAGCCUGCUCUCUCCGCUACAGUCACCAUCAAGCUGUCCACCGUGGAGACCGCCGUCAAGGCCUACUCUGACAUGACAGAGGUGCCUCUGGAGUACGACAUCUUCUCAGACCUCAACCUGUACUUGGUGAUCGGUCUGGGCUCCGUGUCCUUCCUGCUGCUCAUCACCAUCCUGGUCACCAUCGUGCUGAAGUGUCAGAAACCCAAAGCCAGCAAAGCGGCUCCUCCCUGCAGGAACAGCGUGGCCAGUGAGAGGAACUCCACCAUCGCUGACUCCACGCUGGUCUCCAACGAUGCCUACUGGUACAGUCUGUUCCUGGCAGAGACCAGGAAGGGGAAGCUGGUGGUCAGACAGCCUGUGCCAAAGGGCUCCAGGUACAUCGUGUCCAGUAUCCCCAGAGGUACCGGACUGACGGAUACUAGUGACUCAGCAGCUUCUACCCUGCAGGUAGUAUUAACAGCAUUCUAAACUUCCAGCAAACAUUCAUGCAUUUGCAAUGGAAAACAUGUGCAGCGUUGGAAUGCCGUUUACAAUAAACAAUCCUGAAAUAUGUUUCUUGCAUCAUAAUUUAAAAACUUGAAAUAUUCAUAUUGACUUAACGGGUGCAUAUUUUCACAAUGCAAUUCUUCGGAAUCAGACAUCAUAAUACUCUAAACUGUUCUUAGAACUGUUUAAAAUUCAGUGAACACCACUUAAACUAAGUAUGUACUUUAUUACCAAUCAAUGUCAAACAAACAUUUCUUGUUUUAAAGUGCUCAACUUACUGAAACAUAUAAUUUAUAAAUGUUUGUUCAGCAACAGCUACAUAUUAAUCAGUGUGUUCCGAUUAGUAGUUUUUGUCAGUGUCAUUAUGAUCUCACUGUUAAAUAUCAUUUGUCUAUUAUGGUGAGUAUACUGAAAAAUGAAGAAGAUUGUGGAUUACUGUUUAAACCCUGUGUGGUACAUGCUACAACGAUAAACUCAACUCAAGCUCUUAUCGUCAUGCUCAAAUAUUCAUUCUUGUGUUUGCAAUAAUCUGACCAUUGAAUAUUUUUUUUUUCUCCCCACUCUAAAGUACCCUAAAUGAGGAAAGUCCGCUCUGCAGUUGGAGGUAUGCAGCAGUUUCACUCCCCCCAGGCGUCCACCACCAGCAGUAGCAGUUCCACGUAACUCCAUACACCCCCCCCCCCCCCCCCCCAGCUGCAAACAAGACUGACGUUGACAGGAGAGCUCCACAGAGGAAAGGCGAACCCCCUGCUGAUGACCCCCCAUGUCUACCUUGUCCAGCGUGGCCCCUGUUCAUAACAAUGUGUGGUUUCCAUGCUCUAACACUGAAAUACCUAGUGACUAAAGAUGGACCCCUGCCCCUCUAUAAGCACAGAAAAUGCCAAUCAACAAUGCCUGUAUGUCCAUUUAGUAUGCACGAUAUGAUUGCAUGGCUUCGUCUACGCUCCUUCACAAAAUGUACAAAAGGAAAAAAAAGGAGAACAUUUGAAUCACAGUGGAAGAAGCUGCAAAAAGGACCAAUAAAUGGACGCAGGAAUGUGGAAAUGCCUUCAAGAGACUGUAAUUGGACUCUGUUUAAAAACGACAACCACACCUGUUGAAGAUUACAUUUUUACCCUCUGUGCUUUUAUUAUUUUAUGUACAAAGUAGCAAACAUGUGGAACAGCACAACUAACUACUGUCAGAAAAGCAACAAAGUGUGUGAUUUCAAAGUGUGCAGUGAAUGGGAGUCAGUAUUUUAUAGAUGUGGUAGCUUUUAGUACUCGUUUGCAUUGUGUGCUUAUGUGUGGCCCUGGCUUUAAAAUAUGAGUAACAUGAACAGUGCUAAUGCUAAUGCAUUUACGUAACUGAGCUAAGAUGAAGCCUUCAGCCAUCAUGUACCUGCCUUUCAGUUGUCUUUGCAUGGAAUAACCAGUGCUUGGAUAGCUUUAUAUUAUGAAGCAAUCCACUUUAUAUCCUUCUAGCCUCAUCUUAUGGUACAGUACGAGGUACAACAAUAUACUGGACGUUCACGUGAGGUCAGAAACGUUCACCUCGUGUGUGUGUAGGUGAGCAGCGGUGUGCCAUACUUACUCAUUCACAAAGUUUACUUACAGUACUUAUUUACUUAUUUUAGUUCGCUUGAAUGUUGAGGAAUAUGUGUGUGGAGAAUUGAACUGAACAAAGUGAGUAGAUUCAUUAUUGGCACCUUUUUCAAUUACUGUACAUACACCACAAACAUCACCAUCAAGUACUUUAACUUUUAUUUUAUUUCCAAAUCCAAACAAUGUCGGCUGAGAUUGAUGGAGCUGAAAAGUAAGUGUUUAUAUCAAAAUGACAUGUACAUGUGUCUCACUAACCAUAUGUUUAUAUGCAACACCUACAGUAAAUGCAUACAGGUUUGACUGACACAUCAGUAUGAACUAUGUCUGGUUCCAUAUGUAUAUGCCUUUCUGUUUCAGUCCCAAUGCGGAACUUUGUAUUAUGAACACAACCUGUGGGAUUCUGUGCCAUUGCAUUCAUUGGUGAACGGUGAAAUUACGGACCGUCAUGUAGUCAAACUAUUAAGCACAGGUCUCUUUGCAUUACUGGUAAAGGUUGUUUAAGCCAUUACAGGCAAGCAUAUACAGCAAGUGCUUUUGUACAGUGAUACAUUUAUGGUGCAAUAUGUUGUUAUGUGUACUGUGAGCUGCUGAUCUGUGUGAUCUAUUAAAUGCAAAAAACAAA